GGGCCAUGGACGGAGCAGUGAUGGAAGGGCCGCUCUUUUUGCAGAGUCAGCGCUUUGGGACCAAGGUAGUCUGGCGCACGGAUGCCGAACCUUAUCCGGGCUAGUAGUGGGUGGAGGAAGACCUGGGCCGUGCUCUACCCGGCCAGUCCCCACGGCGUAGCUCGGCUCGAGUUCUUUGACCAUAAGGGGUCGAGCUCUGGGGGUGGCCGAGGGAGCUCGCGCCGCCUGGACUGCAAGGUGAUCCGUCUGGCUGAGUGUGUGAGUGUGGCCCCUGUCACCGUGGAGACCCCCCCUGAGCCCGGCGCCACUGCAUUCCGCCUGGACACUGCUCAGCGCUCGCACCUGCUGGCGGCCGACGCGCCGUCCAGUGCAGCCUGGGUGCAGACGCUGUGCCGAAACGCCUUUCCGAAAGGCAGUUGGACUCUGGCUUCUACUGAUAACCCACCUAAGCUUUCUGCCCUGGAGAUGCUGGAGAACUCCUUGUACAGCCCUACCUGGGAAGGAUCCCAAUUCUGGGUAACGGUGCAGAGGACUG
rnacentral:sRNA from 1 species